rnacentral:sRNA from 1 species
UUAUAUAAUUUUUUCUAAAUUAGGAUGAUUUGAUAUGUUUAAUAUUAGUGGUCUUAGAAAAUAAUAAAUUAAAGAUUUAACCCGUAUUGAAACGGUGGAUUAAUUAUAUUUUAUUUUUUUAUUAAUGUUGAUUCAAAAACCCGUCCCUCUAAAUCCGUCUUGCCAAAAAGCCAUUUAUUUAUUAAUAUUAUUUUUAUUAAUGAUAUGACUCUGAAUUAUAAUCUAAACAUUUUAGUUAAUAACAUAGGAGUGCACCAUAUUUAUUUAAUAGGAGAAUGUACCAUAUGAGCCGAACGCACUUUUAUCCAAAUCCACCAAAAAAGUCUUGCAAAAAUACUAUAGAGAUAAGAAACGAUUGUCGGUUUUGAUAGGUAUAAGAUUAGCAAAUAUAUUUGUUAGCUUAAAUUAGUUAAAGAAUACAAAUUGAAAAGGUAUAUUACACUUUAUUCGAAUAUAGUAUCAAAACUUAUAUAACACAGAGAUUUGUUACUUUUUAAUUGUUGAA